AGAGUUUGAUCCUGGCUCAGAACGAACGCCGCGGCGUGGAUUAGGCAUGCAAGUCGAACGUGAUCCGUAGCAAUACGGUGAAAGUGACGGAAGGGUGAGUAAUGCAUAGAUAACCUACCUCCGAGACUGGGAUAACUCCGGGAAACUGGAGCUAAUACCGGAUAGGAUCGCGGGAUCUCCUGGUUCUGCGAUUAAAGGUGCCCUCUGAAUAUGGUAGCACUCGGAGAGGGGUCUAUGUCCUAUCAGCUAGUUGGUGAGGGUAACGGCCCACCAAGGCUUUGACGGGUAGCCGGCCUUAGCGGGUGUCCGGCCACAUUGGGACUGAGACACUGCCCAAACUCCUACGGGAGGCUGCAGUCGAGGAUCUUCCGCAAUGGGCGCAAGCCUGACGGAGCGACGCCGCGUGUGGGAUGAAGGCCUUCGGGUUGUAAACCACUGUCACUCGUUAAGAAAGGGCUUAACGUUAACAGCGUUAGGAACUGACUAAGGCGAGAGAGGAAGCCACGGCUAACUUCGUGCCAGCAGCCGCGGUAAGACGAAGGUGGCGAGCGUUGUUCGGAAUCACUGGGCAUAAAGCGCACGUAGGCGGCGACGUAAGUUGGGUGUGAAAUCCCUCGGCCCAACCGAGGAACUGCGCCCAGUACUGCGUUGCUUGAGGAUCCAAGGGGUGCAUGGAAUUCCCGGUGGAGCGGUGAAAUGCGUUGAUAUCGGGAGGAACUCCGGCGGCGAAAGCGGUGCACUGGUGGAUUACUGACGCUGAGGUGCGAAAGCCAGGGGAGCAAACGGGAUUAGAUACCCCCGUAGUCC
rnacentral:rRNA from 1 species